rnacentral:rRNA from 1 species
CAGUAGCCACGGUAAUACAGAGGGUGCAAGCGUUAAUCGGAAUUACUGGGCGUAAAGCGCGCGUAGGUGGUUUGUUAAGUUGGAUGUGAAAGCCCCGGGCUCAACCUGGGAACUGCAUCCAAAACUGGCAAGCUAGAGUACGGUAGAGGGUGGUGGAAUUUCCUGUGUAGCGGUGAAAUGCGUAGAUAUAGGAAGGAACACCAGUGGCGAAGGCGACCACCUGGACUGAUACUGACACUGAGGUGCGAAAGCGUGGGGAGCAAACAGGAUUAGAUACCCCUGUAGUCCCUGUCUCUUAUAA